rnacentral:lncRNA from 1 species
AGCAGGUUGUAAUCGCAGGCUUUUCAGAGACAUGUCCAGUCUCUCUGUGAGUUUCUUUGGAUCUCAUCUCUGGCAUUUUCCUGCUAAAAUCCAACCUUUCUACCCUUGCCUGACUGACUCUACUCUAAGGCUUUUGAUCUAGAAGAAUAGGUAUCUGAGGAUAGAGCAGUGAACCAAAGAGACAAAAGUCCCUGCCUCUAUGGAGCUACAUUCCAGUUGACUGCUAUAAUGAUGGCUCUCCAGAAUUGUUGUGGUCUGCUUUCAAGUUCUGAGCCUAGCUGCAUGCCAGAAUCACACCAUCUGAGGCUUAAUGAAUCAGCAUCUCCAAGAUUGGCAAAAGUGCCGCUAUCAAAGACAGGUAGAAUGACUCCUGUCUCUAGCUGCUUUCCUGGCACUUGAGCUAUGCAGUGAUAAUACAAGUUGGGAGGACUCAACAGAAGCCAGGCCACGUUCUAGAUAUGGAG